rnacentral:rRNA from 1 species
AUUGAACGCUGGCGGCAGGCCUAACACAUGCAAGUCGAGCGGAGCGGCGGGCGGGUGAGUAAUGCCUAGGAAUCUGCAUGGCAGUGGGGGAUAACGUCAGGAAACGGGCGCUAAUACAGCAUACUAUCAGAUGAGCCUAGGUCGGAUUAGCUAGUUGGUGGGGUAAAGCCCUACCAAGGCGACGAUCCGUACCUGGUCUGAGAGGAUGAUCAGUCACACUGGAACCGAGACACGGUCCAUACUCCUGCGGAAGGAAGCAGUGGUGAAUAUUGGACAAGGGGCGAAAGCCUGAUCCAGCCAUGCCGCUGGUGUGAAGAAGGUCUUCGGAUUGUAAAGCACUUUAAGUUGGGAGGCGUUACCAACAGAAUAAGCACCGGCUAACUUCGUGCCAGCAGCCGCGGUAAUUC